CUCGGCGGCUGUCCGAAUGCCUCCUGGUACCCCGGCGGCGAGCGCCACCGGGAGCGCCCUCCGACCCCACAGUCUCAGAGUGUCCUGCGCUGCGGACCCAGGACGCCCACGCAGGGCCCCUUAAGGACAGGACAGUGGCUCUAAGGUGCCUCCUGCAGGGAUGAUCAAGUUAAGAUGAGGUCGUUAGAGUGGACCCUAAUCCGCUACGCCAGCUGUCCUUAUAAAAUGGAGAGAUUUGGGCACAAACACACAAGGAGAACGCCAUGUGAAGACAGAAGCAGAGAUCAGAUUAGGGUGAUGCAUCUGCAAGCUGGGGAGAGAGGCAUGAGCAGAUGCUCCCUCGCAGCCCUCAGAAGGAGCCAGCCCUGUGGAAACCUUGAUCUCAGACUUGCAGCUUCCAGAACCGCAGACAAUUCCGCGUUGCAGCAAACCUUCAAAAAACCACCACUCAGUGAGUGUUGGUGUUGUAUCAAAGAAGAGUGUCCACAACUAUCCAAAAAGGCCGUUAAAAUUCUCCUUCCUUUUCCAAUUACUCAUCUGUGUGAGGCUGGAUCUUCUUCACAUACUUCACCCAAAACAAGACACCCCAGUGGAGUGAAGGCAGAGGCAGACAUGAGACCCAGCUGUCUUGUGUCAAAAGCAACAUGAAAGAGAUUUUCGCAGAUGGAGAACACUGCCACUCUUAUCACUGACUUGGUGGCUUGAAGAUACAGUCACACACUGAAUUUAUUAUUACCAUUGUACCUUCUCAGGUUAAAUUUCUAGUAUUGUAAAUAUUGAUAAGUAUAAUCUACAUGACUAAAGGCUCUUUGAGCUACUCAAUAAUUUCAGGAGGGUAAAGGAGUUUUGAGACCAAGAAAUUUGAGAACCAUUGGACUAAGGAAUAUAAAUAUUAAAACUCAGGACCCACUGGAUAACACUCUCUGAAUUCUCACAAUGACUCUAUGAGGUGGGUGCCCUUAUUAUCUCCAUUUACCAGAUGAAAUACUGAGGAACAGAGAGGGGAAGUAAUUGCCCAACUCACAGAGCUAGUAAAUGCCAGAGCCAGGAUUUGAACCCAGUUAUCUGACCCCAAGCUUGUGCACUUCCUUGGGGACAAUUUGGCAACAGGUUUAAAAAGCCUUUAAAAAUAUUAGCUUUCUGGGGCUGGCCCCGUGGCCGAGUGGUUAAGUUUGCGCGCUCCGCUGCAGGCGGCCCAGUGUUUCGUCGGUUCGAAUCCUGGGCGCGGACAUGGCACUGCUCAUCAGACCACGCUGAGGCGGCGUCCCACAUGCCACAACUAGAAGAACCCACAACGAAGAAUACACAACUAUGUACCGGGGGGCUUUGGGG
rnacentral:lncRNA from 1 species